AUUAUUAUUGUAGGUUGAAGAUGGCAAAUAUUUGGAAAUCAUUAUUGUUGAUUGUCGUCCUUGUUUCUCUCACAUCAUUUGAGAAAGGAUUGGUUUCUGGUAAGGGCUUUUGCGUUGAUUCUUGGCUGGCUCCAUGUAAUGUACAAGGAGUAAGAAUAUGUGUGGCGACAUGCCAAAGCAAGUAUCCUACACUCGUCAAUUCUUAUUGUCAAACUAGUGGUAACGUAGCUAAAUGUGCCUGUGCAUAUCGUUGCUAAUCAAUGCACCUACUAGUGGUAAGGUAGCUGAAUUUAUGUGCGCAUAUCCUUGCUAAUUAAUGCACCUUUUUCUUAGACAUGUAAUAAAUAUUGUAAACUUCUAUAUAUAAGAAAUAAAUAAUCUUGUGUUGCAAUGAA